rnacentral:rRNA from 1 species
CCCGUCACACCACGAGAGUUUGUAACACCCGAAGUCGGUGAGGUAACCUUUUGGAGCCAGCCGCCGAAGGUGGGACAGAUGAUUGGGGUGAAGUCGUAACAAGGUAGCCGUAUCGGAAGGUGCGGCUGGAUCACCUCCUUU